AUGCCGCGUGAGUGAAGAAGGCUUCGGGUUGUAAAGCUCUUUCGGUGGGGACAAAUGGUUUGUGCUAAUACCACGAACUGAUGACGGUACCCGAAGAAGAAGCACCGGCUAACUACGUGCCAGCAGCCGCGGUAAUACGUAGGGUGCAGGCGUUAAUCGGAAUUACUGGGCGUAAAGCGUGCGCAGGCGGUUUGCUAAGACAGAUGUGAAAUCCCCGGGCUUAACCUGGGAACUGCGUUUGUAACUGGCAGGCUGGAGUGUGGCAGAGGGGGGUGGAAUUCCAAGUGUAGCAGUGAAAUGCGUAGAUAUUUGGAGGAACACCGAUGGCGAAGGCAGCCCCCUGGGCUAACACUGACGCUCAUGCACGAAAGCGUGGGGAGCAAACAGGAUUAGAUACCCUGGUAGUCCACGCCCUAAACUAUGUCAACUGGUUGUCGGGGGAGCAAUCCCUUGGUAACGAAGCUAACGCGUGAAGUUGACCGGCUGAGGAGUACGGCCGCAAGGUUAAAACUCAAAGGAAUUGACGGGGAACCGCACAAGCGGUGGAUUAUGUGGAUUAAUUCGAAGCAACGCGAAAAAUCUACCUAACCUUGACAUGUACGGAACCUCGCAGAG
rnacentral:rRNA from 1 species